rnacentral:misc_RNA from 1 species
CCCCCCCCCCCGGUUGGAAUCGAUGCGAGUAUAUGUGCAGUAAGUGGCACAAUGUGGACGCGACGCGAGUGAAGUAAAUGUGCAGUAAGUGGCACAGAAUGUGGACCCGACGCGAGUGAAGUAAAUGUGCAGUAAGUGGCACAGAAUGUGGACCCGACGCGAGUGAAGUAAAUGUGCAGUAAGUGGCACACGACCYGGACCCGACGCGAGUGAAGUAAAUGUGCAGUAAGUGGCACACGACCCGGACCCGACUCGAGUGAAGUGAAUGUGCAGUAAGCGGCACAAUCUGGACCCGACCCGAGUAUAACGUGUGCAUGCCCAGCGGUGCUGGGUCGACGGCGCCUGAUACUUCCAUUUGCUCGCGAGCCCUCGUGCGCGCGGGGUGUGGUUGGCAGGGCGGCGUUGGCCCGAGCGAACGUGCGGGCGUGUGAGAGGCGAUCGGAUCGUCCCUGUCGGCCGGCUCCGUGCUCGCGCACCGAACGGUCGACGGGGGAUCCCCGCGGGAUGAGCAGUCCUAGCCCGGGGGCGCAAGACCCGGCGCGCACUGGAGGACGGUUCCUUUGUUGCCUAUCCGCCGCGAGCGGAAUCCGAUCGACGGACGCGUCCCCCUCCAUCCGUCGCCCCGCGAGGGGCCUCGGAGGACCACAGAGCGGCGCUCGCGGUCCGCCCGAGCCGCGAACCGGCCGUGCGGGACGCGAGGGCGCGCUGCGCUCUCGGACCCGGUGCAUCGUGCGGACGCGGGCGGCCUGGCCCGCCGGCGUCCCCUCGCUCAGAGAAUCGAAUCGGCGUCUCUCCCGCGAGACCCCCGCGCCCGGCCAGGCGGCCCGGCGCGGCGGCGUCGAGAGGGGGYGC